CCUAGGGAGGCACGUGGGGUAAACUUCCAGGAGAUUUUGACCUGUGGAAGGCAGGUCACGUGGAGUCCGGCAUGGGAGCAGAUUGGACAAUUUGUGCUUUCAGGCCCCGCUCUCCUCCAGGAUGUCCCCUAGGUGGGUUCAUCCGCUCCUCGCCUAUCCCUGGGCCAUCAGGAUGACUCAUCCCAGG
rnacentral:lncRNA from 1 species